rnacentral:rRNA from 1 species
UACGAGGGGGGCAAGCGUUGUUCGGAAUUAUUGGGCGUAAAGGGUGCGUAGGCGGUGCGGUAAGUCUGUUGUGAAAUCUCCGGGCUCAACUCGGAGUCUGCAUCAGAAACUGCCGUGCUGGAGUGUGGGAGAGGUGAGUGGAAUUCCCGGUGUAGCGGUGAAAUGCGUAGAGAUCGGGAGGAACACCUGCGGCGAAAGCGGCUCACUGGACCUAACUGACGCUGAUGCACGAAAGCUAGGGGGAGCAAACAGG